rnacentral:rRNA from 1 species
UACGUAGGUCCCGAGCGUUGUCCGGAUUUAUUGGGCGUAAAGCGAGCGCAGGUGGUUUAUUAAGUCUGGUGUAAAAGGCAGUGGCUCAACCAUUGUAUGCAUUGGAAACUGGUAGACUUGAGUCCAGGAGAGGAGAGUGGAAUUCCAUGUGUAGCGGUGAAAUGCGUAGAUAUAUGGAGGAACACCGGUGGCGAAAGCGGCUCUCUGGCCUGUAACUGACACUGAGGCUCGAAAGCGUGGGGAGCAAACAGG